rnacentral:rRNA from 2 species
UGACGCUGAGGCUCGAAAGUAUGGGUAGCAAACAGGAUUAGAUACCCUGGUAGUCCAUACCGUAAACGAUGAAUGCUAAGUGUUGGAGGGUUUCCGCCCUUCAGUGCUGCAGCUAACGCAUUAAGCAUUCCGCCUGGGGAGUACGGCCGCAAGGCUGAAACUCAAAGGAAUUGACGGGGGCCCGCACAAGCGGUGGAGCAUGUGGUUUAAUUCGAAGCUACGCGAAGAACCUUACCAGGUCUUGACAUACUAUGCAAAUCUAAGAGAUUAGACGUUCCCUUCGGGGACAUGGAUACAGGUGGUGCAUGGUUGUCGUCAGCUCGUGUCGUGAGAUGUUGGGUUAAGUCCCGCAACGAGCGCAACCCUUAUUAUCAGUUGCCAGCAUUAAGUUGGGCACUCUGGUGAGACUGCCGGUGACAAACCGGAGGAAGGUGGGGAUGACGUCAAAUCAUCAUGCCCCUUAUGACCUGGGCUACACACGUGCUACAAUGGAUGGUACAACGAGUUGCGAACUCGCGAGAGUAAGCUAAUCUCUUAAAGCCAUUCUCAGUUCGGAUUGUAGGCUGCAACUCGCCUACCAUG